GCAGACCAUGGAUGUCUGCGGUGGACAAGAAAAGAGGCGCUCUGCUGGAUGGAGGCCAUGCAGAGGUGGUGUGAGGGAUCAGAUAUUGCCCAAGGGGGUCCACCAACGCAUCAUCCCCCAGCGAUGAGUAAGGGGCGGCCGAUCAUGCGAGCAUGGAGGGGGAGCAGAUUUUCACGGCGGGAGCAGUCUGCCUCAGCUGGCCCACUCGCCAUCGCCAUAACCUGAUAUGGCUUUUCGCCUCAUUGGCUCCGUAUCGCAGCGUAUCAUCACCAGGGCUGAGCAUCUACCACCAGCGGUACCAGCGGAGAAACACUGCUGGAUGAGCAGGGAACAGUGGGAGACGACGUCAGAAAUUGCCAGAGUUAAAGUGGGAGUUGCUCAAGUGAAGGAGGCUGAGUCCAGAAGAGGAGCUCAUAAUGGUAAUGUGGCCAGCAGGUGGGAAAUGGCCAAGUGUCCUCUGGUACAGUUAGAGGGAGAAAUUGGGAGCUGGAGUGUUGGGAAACUGGAAGGAUGUACAGUGGUUAUAAUGAGGCUUGCAGAGUGUGUAUGUGUUGGAGGUAGAGCUGGGAGAAGGAGAGCACAGGUGAGACGGCCAUCACAGGAAAGCCAGAGUCAGACUUCAUCAGUCAACACCACCACAGCCUGCACAGCAGAGGAAGUAGUAGUUCACCUUGGGAAAUUAGUCUCACACUUGCCUUCAUUUCUUCUGAAGUCCCAGGAGCCGUUUCUUUUUUUUUUCUUUACAGUUUGUUUCUCUUGUUCUGUUUGA
rnacentral:lncRNA from 1 species